rnacentral:tRNA from 1 species
GCGACAGAAGCUGAAACAUUAGCGUCGGUCUUGUAAGCCGAAAGUUGGAAACGUCUUCCCUGUCGCA